rnacentral:rRNA from 1 species
ACGAACGCUGGCGGCGUGCUUAACACAUGCCAGUCGAACGCGCCUGUCCUCUGGGUUUCUGGGGGGUGGGUGAGUGGCGAACGGGUGAGUAACACGUGAGUAACCUGCCCCCUUCUUCGGGAUAACGGUCUGAAAGGGCUGCUAAUACCGGGUAUUCACUGGUCUCCGCAUGGGGUCUGGUGGAAAGGUUUUUUUCUGGUGGGGGAUGGGCUCGCGGCCUAUCAGCUUGUUGGUGGGGUGAUGGCCCACCAAGGCUUUGACGGGUAGCCGGCCUGAGAGGGUGACCGGUCACAUUGGGACUGAGAUACGGCCCAGACUCCUACGGGAGGCAGCAGUGGGGAAUAUUGCACAAUGGGCGCAAGCCUGAUGCAGCGACGCCGCGUGAGGGAUGGAGGCCUUCGGGUUGUGAACCUCUUUCGCCCGUGGUCAAGCCGCGACGUGGGUCGUGGUGAGGGUAGUGGGUAAAGAAGCGCCGGCUAACUACGUG